CCACUAUUGCAGCAAGCCCUUUAAUUGAAAAAAGCCCAAAAGAAAUAAUCAAACCAUAAUAAGUCCAAAAUUUGGUUUGUUUCGGACUUUCUAUGAAUGUCCGAAAUUGUGACAAACGUAUAUCCCAUGGAUGUCCAUUAAAGAACUUUCUAUGAACAAAGUUGUGUUAAACGUAUAUCCUAUGGACGUCCAUCGAAUGUCCGACGGACCUUAUUUGGACUCUUAAUGGAUGUCCGAAUGUCCAGAAGCGGAUAUCCAUUGGACAUACAAUGGAUGUCCUUGUGCUAUCUGGGUAUGGACACGGUAUCCAAACAGCACAAUGAUGUCCAUAGAACAUCCAAAGUGUCCAGGACGUAGAUGCAGAAUAUCCUGAGGACAUCCCAUUUUAAUCCUAGAAUUUCCUCUGGACAUCCCGAGGAACAGUGUAUGAGAGCCGUGUAUAAGCCCCUGGAACAUCCAGGGAGAUCCUGUGGAUCAUCUUAAGGAUUUCCACAGGACAUAUUAAGGAUUCUAUAGGAUAUGUUAGAGAUAUUUUUGGAACUUUAAGGACCAAAUUCUGAAAGUGAAAUAUAGAUCAACUACCCAGCAAACACAAAGUUACAUGUAACGUGCUUGUUAGUUGUAAUUUCCCACUCAAUGAUAUAAUUGCAAUAUAACAUACGUACGUUAUAUUACAAUUACAUUGUUGAGUGGGAAAUUACAACUAACAGAUACGUUACAUGUAAAUUGGUGUUUGGUGGGUAAUUAAUAUUUCAAACUAAGUAUGUAAGAUAAACUAAACAUUUAGUACAUAAAAACUUAUACGUUUCGAUAUUCACUGCCAGUACUAAAAAUAUAGUUAACGUCAACGUAUAUUAUAGAUUUUUAGUAUUGGCAGUAAAUAUCUGAACGCAUCCAAAGUGUAAAGCACUGACUCAGUGAGAAAUAAAUGGUUGAAAAGAUGUCGAAUUCUGGCUGCGUUCGGAAACGUCACCCGAGUGCUCUUGGGUAUCAUUCUAUUCUUGUCUCACAUUCAACGAACAAUGAUAAUAUGAUACCCGAGAGCACUCAGAUGAUGUUUCUGAACGCAGUUCUAUCCAAUUGACUUGUUCUUUUUCGUUACACUGCUGCACUGGUGCAGGGUAGAGUAAUUUACUCGUUAUUUUCACCACAUAGUGAAAAUAUCCCAAAAUCAUCCCAAAUGUUCACGUAUAUUCACUAACUAAUAAAUAGCAUAAAAAAUCUUAAAAUCGUCGUAUACAUGUCCAAGAUGUCUUGUGAAGUAUCCCAGGAUGUCCUGAUGAGGAAUUUUGUAGGAUAUACUUAGGACAUCCCUGGGAUGCUCCACAAGACAUCUUGAACAUGUGUACGAUGAUCUUAGAACUUCUUAUGCUAUUCGAAGUUAGUGGAUAUACAAUGGAUAUUUAUGGAAGAUAUUACUCUUUAUACAGUAUUUUAUAUAUCGCACGCUUUAUCCAAAAAACGUCCUAAGAACGUCCUUAGGAGUGCAGACGUCCUCUCAAUGUCCUAUAGACGUCUUUAGAAGAUUUCUGCUGUAUAAGUAACAUUCUGAAAUUACUUCAAGUGUUUUACCAUAAUUAAUGAAGUCAAAUAUACACAAAACCCACCAAACACCAAGUUACAUGUAACGUACCUGUUAGUUGUAAUUUCCCACUCAACAAUGUAAUUGUAAUAUAACACGUGUGUUAUAUUGCAAUUAUGUUAUUGAGUGGGAAAUUACAACUAACAAGCACGUUACAUGUAACUUUGUGUUUGCUGGGAAUAUUCAUAAAACAUUUAUAAUAACGCAAUUAAAUUUCCUGAAAAUGUCCCAGGGCAUCCUGGACAUAGUCAAGAUUAUCCUGAGGAUAUGUCUUGUGCUAUCUGUGCUCCAAUGGGUGAGGGGGCUGUUGAACGUACGGUAAGGGGAGCGAAAAUGCUCUCCUUUUUUAUUCGUUCAGCGUCUCUUUCUACAAGUUGACACCGUCGACAUCAAAGAACGUAACCGAAGAUAUCCGAGCUCUGAAAGUUGCAUUAUAGCUUAUGCAUAAUAAUUUUUCGGAGAUUGCAAAUUGGUUAUUUUGGUUAUUGGGUAAUUGAUAUAUUAAUUGUUUUCGAUCUUCGAAUUCGUAAUUAUUAUAUUCAUUUAAGAAAAGUUGUGUCAUAGUAAAAAUGUCAUCUUGUAUCAUAUUUCGGGCUGCGUUAAUCGUUCUGAUCCGAAAAGAAAACGAGAUACGCAAAUCGAACUGGAGAAUUCUAAAAAUGUUUUGUAUCACAAUUAUACGAAAAGAGUACAAUGGCUGCCAGUACAAACUGUACAACUGUAUAUACAAAGUGCAGUAAAUGUACCUGCGAAUGUACCUGCAACUAAUAAAGUACCUAUAUGCAUAUAAGUACUGAUGUAUCCCCAAAUAUUAAUGAGACAUUAACAUCUUCAAAAUCUUCAAUUACGGAACCAGUCAAUACUUUUCAUAUCUCAAUAGAUUCCUGGAUUUCUGUUUCACUGGAGAAAUUAUUUAAUUCCCCGAGAAAAAAAUUCGAGAAGCGCAUAAGCGAGAAAUAAAAUUAGUUCGCCGACAACUGUACCGUUCUAGACAACAAAAUUUGCAGUACAAGAAACAAAUUCAAAAUCUUAAUGAAAUUUUACAAUCUUUAAAACAGAAGAACUUGUUGCCAUCUGAAGAAUUGGAGAAAAUUUCAGUGAGUGGAAUAAAAAUUUAUUAAAUCUACAAAUCCAUAAAAUAAAAAAAUUGAAAGUACCUCGUCUAUAUGCACCUGAAUUGCGUCGUUUUGCUGCAAAACAUAAAUAACAAAAAAAAAACAAAUGUAAUAAAUAUAUAUUUCCAUUUCUAUUUAUUAUAUUUCAUUUAUUUAAUUAUCUUUUAAUCUUAACUAUUAUAUUCAAUAAUUUUCUAUCUAUCCAUCUGUUUAUCAUUUGUUUAUCAAUUAUCCAACCAUCUAAUUUUAAAUUAUAAGUUAAUACAGAGACAGAGAAAGAAAGAGAAAUAAUUCAAAUAAAAAUUCAAUUUAAAAUAAUACAUUUUGAUAGUUCGCGUACUUUACGUAUUUAAUGGAACAUAAAUUUUAUCAAAAAAAAAAUUUAAGAGAAGGAAAAAGAUUAAAGAUAGAGAGAUUGAUUGAUUGAUAACAGUAUAUUUAGCCGUAGAAUAUAAGCCUGUGCGGCUCCCAAUAACAUGGUGACUGAUACAUUUGUAAUAGUAGUACAAUUGAAAAGAAUACAGAAAAUCAGUAAGAUCGUAAAGCAUAGCGAAGUGAUGUGAAACGGAAGUUAACUACAAAGAGAAUUAACUACAAAGCAACAUAAGUAUGAUG
rnacentral:lncRNA from 1 species